GGGGAGGGAUGGUCUGGACAUAAACUUAUUUGCCACGUAGGCAGCCAACGUGUCAAUCUAGUCAGAAAAAUUGGUAUGUAAAUCAGCCAAUUAUGCCAAAAGGUGUACCGGUUUAGCAAAAACAGGGGGUUAAGUAGACUUUAUUCGGAUCUAGUUUUUCCUUGUUGUUUUGAGCUAUCCAUUUGUAGCAAUAAAAAGGAUUGCUCUUUGGCUGAAAUUUGGAGAGGGCAUGAUAUACAGAGAAAUUCUAAAGUCAGAAAGAGAGACAUGCUUGAG
rnacentral:lncRNA from 1 species